rnacentral:rRNA from 1 species
AGGAAAUAGAUACCCCGGUAGUCCACGCCGUAAACGAUGGAUGCUAGCUGUUAUGAGUAUCGACCCUCGUAGUAGCGUAGCUAACGCGUUAAGCAUCCCGCCUGUGGAGUACGGUCGCAAGACUAAAACAUAAAGGAAUUGACGGGGACCCGCACAAGCGGUGGAGCGUGUUGUUUAAUUCGAUGGUAAGCGAAGAACCUUACCCAGGCUUGACAUCCUGCCAAAUUCGCCGAAAGGCGAGUGUGCCUUCGGGCCGCAGUGACAGGUGAUGCAUGGCCGUCGUCAGCUCGUGUCGUGAGAUGUCUGGUUAAGUCCAUCAACGAGCGCAACCCUUAUAGUUAGUUGUAUUUCUCUAGCUAGACUGCCCUGGUAACAGGGAGGAAGGGGGGAUGAUGUCAGGUCAGUAUUUCCCUUACGUCUGGGGCUACAAACACGCUACAAUGGCCGGUACAAAGGGCUGCCAACCCGCGAGGGGAGCAAAUCCCAUCAAAGCCGGUCUCAGUUCGGAUUGUAGGCUGAAACUCGCCUGC